GGUCGUUAGCUCAGUCGGUAGAGCAGUUGACUUUUUAAUCAAUUGGUCGCAGGUUCGAAUCCUGCACGCACCA
rnacentral:tRNA from 1 species